GUCCAGCAUUCCAUAUUUAAACACUCUUUAAUUUUUGACCUAACCCUAAUCAUUUUCCUCUCCUUUCUAGCGCAGCCAGCCUCUCUUUUUUUCCCUCAGACUCUCGCUCUCCUAUAAACCCUAAUCCUAAAAUCGUAUUUUCUCUCAGUUUUAUUAUUGAUUGACUCUUAAAUCUUACACAAUACACUACUUGGUGAAGAUUAUGUAAUACCCUUAUUCACUUUGUCCUUGUUCCUACUUUUUAACCCUGUUGCUUUCGAUUUCUUCGUUACAUGUGUAACUGAUGAUUUUUUUCUUUCAUCCAUAUUAUGAACUAGGGAUUUCUGGAACCCCUUUCAUGUUUGGCUUUAAUUUUACAAGCACAGCCCCUUGAUUCUAUGGUUUCUGGCCCCAAUUCUGAGACUCAGACUGACUUUUGAUCUAUUAAUUAACACCUAAUUUUCUUAACUUUUACUUUACAUUUAGUUUGAUUUUUCAAUUACUGUAAUAUAGUAGACUUAAUUUGUAGUUCUUUAAUUUUUGCUACUUAAUUAGUUAAGUUGUUGGAUACUUGGAAUUGGAUGUAAUUUGCCUCUCAAAUUCUGUAAUGAGAGUUUGUUAUUUUAUUUACUUGUAAUCUGUAUUAAAUUUCAUUUCAAACUUAUUGCAUUUUUA